rnacentral:misc_RNA from 1 species
UAAUAAGUGUUUUUUAUUGGCACUUUUUAAAUCCAUAUCCACCUUGUGUGCAAUGUCAGUCGGUUUUUCUUUUUUCGUCAAGAAAAAAAAGGAUCGACCAAACAUCAACUUAUUCUAAUUGAACUUUUGUCUGAAAAACUAUUAUGAAUAAAACUAAUUCAAAAUAC